GAAAUUUUUUGGGUGGGGGUUUUCAGGGGUUUAACGUUCACCCUCCUGCCUCUCUGGCGGCCGGAGGACGGAGGGAGUGCAUCAUUGCCGUCAAUGAGCCUUUGCAGAAGGCGAUCCUUCCUGUUUUCCAGUCUACCUUCCUCUUUCAAUCCCUAAAAGCUUUCGUUCUCGUUGAAAAAUGACGUUCUUCAAUAUCAGAAGAACUUGCCAUCGGUUUUUCACGCGACCAACCAAAAUUUUCCGCAACCCUUCAAGGGCCUUCUUCAGUCCCGGCAUUGCUUGGCCCCAAUUUCCAGCGCCCAACUCGAUUAUUCCGAGAUUUCAAAGUUUCGACAGUCGAAUUGGCCGUUUUUUCUGCACAGACAGAGUGGUCUAUGAUCUCCUCGCGGAGGUAGAGAGAGAGAAGCAGCGGGAAAGAGAAGAGCGGCGACGCAGGGGGGAGCAGGUCGAUUACGCCGAAGAGGAGGAGGACUACAUGGGCGUGGGGCCGCUCAUAGAGAAGCUCAAGAAGAAGAGCGCAAAGGAAGCCAGGGAGGUCGAUGGGUUCGAGGAGUGGACGGAAUCGGAUAGCAGCGACGAUGAUGAUAGGUACUCGCCGGAGGAAUCAAACAAACGCGCUGACCUGUUCGAGAAGAAGUUCAAGAAGCACCAGGAGAUGAUCAAGAAUCUUGUUGAAGCAGAAACUUUUGAUGAUGCCUUCAAAUGGAUGAACAAAAUUGACAAAUUUGAGGAGAAACAUCUUUCACUACCACUGGAGUACAGGGUUAUUGGUGAGCUCAUUAAUCGACUCAAAGAAGCAACUGGAAAGGAUAGGUUCAUUCUCCUUCAAAAGUUGAAUCGUGCUGUAAGAUUAGUGGAAUGGAAGGAGGCCUAUGACCCAAACAAUCCGGCAAACUAUGGAGUCAUCCAACACGAGCAGGUUGGACCUUCUGUCGACCUUCUAGAACAUGCGGGAUUUGAAAAGGAGAAGCAAAUCAUUCAAGGAGCUGAAAAUGAUGACGACGACGAAGAUUUCCUUGAAGAUAAGGAUGAUGUGCUUUUAGAAAAGCUUAAUGCUAUUGACAGGCAGAUUGAACAGAAGCUUUUGGAGCUUGAUCAUACUUUUGGGAAGAAGGGUAAGGUUCUGGAGGAGGAGAUCAGAGAUCUGGCAGAGGAGAGAAACUCUUUGACUGAGAAAAAGAGAAGACCUUUGUACCGAAAGGGAUUUGAUGUCAAGCUGAUAGAUGUUAACCGGACGUGCAAAGUGACAAAGGGAGGGCAAGUAAUAAAGUAUACUGCUUUAUUAGCUUGUGGUAACUAUCAUGGGGUUAUUGGCUUUGCUAAAGCAAAAGGUCCUGCAGUUCCAAUUGCUCUUCAGAAGGCGUAUGAAAAAUGCUUCCAGAAUCUCCAUUACGUAGAAAGGUAUGAGGAUCAUACAAUUCCACAUGCCAUCCAGACAAACUAUAAGAAGACCAAGAUCUACUUGUGGCCUGCUCCAACAACUACUGGAAUGAAGGCAGGCAGGACAGUAGAAACUAUCCUACAUCUGGCUGGUUAUAAGAAUGUCAAAUCAAAGGUUAUUGGUUCCAGAAAUCCACAUAACACUGUCAAAGCGGUCUUCAAAGCUCUUAAUGCUAUUGAAACUCCAAAGGAUGUCCAGGAGAAGUUUGGUCGAACAGUUGUUGAGAAAUAUUUGCUUUAGUUGCUGCAGUUUUCCAGCAAACAAUGAUAUCUCCGGCGAAAUAACUGGUAGGCAUCAACUUGAAGGUUGCUGGAAGCGUUUGGGAAUUUGUGAGCAUUGUUUUUCUUCCGUCAAACCCUCCUACUAUCGGGCAACUCGUGUGGAGUCAUCUGCCCUUCUUCUAUGCCCUGCAUGUGACAUGUGAAACAUUCCUUGGUUGAUUAUAUCAGGGCUUCUCAAAAUGGAAGCUUUACAGAAAUGUCAGAUCUUAGGACUUGAUUCUUUCAGCCAAUCAGCUGGAGGGGAAAUGCACGACCUUGGCAAUCUUACUGGUGACCGCUAAGGAUCCCCUAUUUUGGCAGGCAAUGGAGGGGAGUGAAUGGCGAUGAAUGUAGUGGCUGUUUUUUUUUUCUCUUCCCAGAAGCAAAACGUGUAUACUUUCUUUCUUUUUUCCUCAAAUCCAAUUUUUGUGUAUAAACAUAAUCAGUGGGUAAAGUAUGCCACCCAUGCUUCUUGGUAGGAAGCAUAUGGUAUGCCCACUGAAGUUGGUCUGAAGUGGCCCAUGUAGAGUCUGGAAUAGAAUGUUUUGUUUGCAGGGUUAGGAUGUUAAACCAGAUUAACCAAUAUAUUAUAUCCCAACCUUUUUUGCUUAGAGAAGCUGCCUAAA